rnacentral:snRNA from 1 species
GGGUGUGAGUGCGAUGUGGUUGUGACAUCUGUCACCACAUUGGUCACCAGUUUUGAUUUGGCUCAUCUGGCUAGCUAGGCGGUGUCCCCAUCCUCCCUCAACUCUGUUCCAUGUGUGUCCCUGCCGAAGCUGUACGGUUUGUUGAAGAGGAUGACCUUCCUGGAUAGAGGAGGAUUGUUCUUUGGCCAAGAGUAUUCAAGUAGUUGCUUUACUCUGCUAGAACCCUCAAGUAAGCUCUUAAAAGUUAAUCUUAAAGUUAGAGCUCUUAAAAAAUCCAUCACCCACAGGGUGUCCCUGGGUGGCUUAAU